rnacentral:rRNA from 1 species
UAGGGAAUCUUCCGCAAUGGACGCAAGUCUGACGGAGCAACGCCGCGUGAGUGAAGAAGGAUUUCGGUUCGUAAAACUCUGUUGUUAGAGAAGAACAGCGCAUAGAGUAACUGUUAUGCGUGUGACGGUAUCUAACCAGAAAGCCACGGCUAACUACGUGCCAGCAGCCGCGGUAAUACGUAGGUGGCAAGCGUUGUCCGGAUUUAUUGGGCGUAAAGCGAGCGCAGGCGGUCAAUUAAGUCUGAUGUGAAAGCCCCCGGCUCAACCGGGGAGGGUCAUUGGAAACUGGUUGACUUGAGUGCAGAAGAGGAGAGUGGAAUUCAAUGUGUAGCGGUGAAAUUCGUAGAUAUAUGGAGGAACACCAGUGGCGAAGGCGACUCUCUGGUCUGUAACUGACGCUGAGGCUCGAAAGCGUGGGUAGCAAACAGG